UUANCAUGCAGUCGAACGAUGAAGCCCUUCGGGGUGGAUUAGUGGCGAACGGGUGAGUAACACGUGGGCAAUCUGCCCUUCACUCUGGGACAAGCCCUGGAAACGGGGUCUAAUACCGGAUAACACCGGCUUCCGCAUGGAAGCUGGUUGAAAGCUCCGGCGGUGAAGGAUGAGCCCGCGGCCUAUCAGCUUGUUGGUGGGGUAAUGGCCUACCAAGGCGACGACGGGUAGCCGGCCUGAGAGGGCGACCGGCCACACUGGGACUGAGACACGGCCCAGACUCCUACGGGAGGCAGCAGUGGGGAAUAUUGCACAAUGGGCGAAAGCCUGAUGCAGCGACGCCGCGUGAGGGAUGACGGCCUUCGGGUUGUAAACCUCUUUCAGCAGGGAAGAAGCGAAAGUGACGGUACCUGCAGAAGAAGCGCCGGCUAACUACGUGCCAGCAGCCGCGGUAAUACGUAGGGCGCAAGCGUUGUCCGGAAUUAUUGGGCGUAAAGAGCUCGUAGGCGGCUUGUCACGUCGGGUGUGAAAGCCCGGGGCUUAACCCCGGGUCUGCAUCCGAUACGGGCAGGCUAGAGUGUGGUAGGGGAGAUCGGAAUUCCUGGUGUAGCGGG
rnacentral:rRNA from 1 species